rnacentral:rRNA from 1 species
ACACUCCUACGGGAGGCAGCAGUGGGGAAUAUUGGACAAUGGGCGCAAGCCUGAUCCAGCCAUGCCGCGUGAGUGAUGAAGGCCCUAGGGUUGUAAAGCUCUUUCACCGGUGAAGAUAAUGACGGUAACCGGAGAAGAAGCCCCGGCUAACUUCGUGCCAGCAGCCGCGGUAAUACGAAGGGGGCUAGCGUUGUUCGGAUUUACUGGGCGUAAAGCGCACGUAGGCGGACUAUUAAGUCAGGGGUGAAAUCCCGGGGCUCAACCCCGGAACUGCCUUUGAUACUGGUAGUCUUGAGUUCGAGAGGGGUGAGUGGAAUUCCGAGUGUAGAGGUGAAAUUCGUAGAUAUUCGGAGGAACACCAGUGGCGAAGGCGGCUCACUGGCUCGAUACUGACGCUGAGGUGCGAAAGCGUGGGGAGCAAACAGGAUUAGAAACCCCUGUAGUCCCAUGAU